rnacentral:lncRNA from 1 species
GAAAAUAUAAAAUAACAGACUUUGAACUUAAGAUCCCAGCUACAAACCAUCCAGUACUUUUCUAUUUGUGCUAAGGACAAUGUUUCUUCUUUCACUACUAUUACCAAUAUAUGGAUACUCAUGAGGAGCCAUUAAUUGGGAGUUAUUUAACUGCACUAAUAUGAUCGUCGAUUUGGAGGCUCUAUCAUCGAAAAUAAAUGGGUGGCAACGAAGCUUGUUUGCUAUCGAUAGUAUUCUAGCUCAACUCCUUAUAAAAGUAUAAUAUAUGUAGCCUUAUUUUAGAAAACAUUAAAUUUUGAUAUUCAUGUUCGCACGCUAUCGAAUCUAGCGUCCCAAUUCCUGGAUACUAUAUAUAGUAAAUAAAUUUUUAUUUAUUCUA